rnacentral:rRNA from 1 species
AGAGUUUGAUCCUGGCUCAGAUUGAACGCUGGCGGUAUGCUUAACACAUGCAAGUCGAACGGUAACAGGCCUUCGGGCGCUGACGAGUGGCGGACGGGUGAGUAACGCGUAGGAAUCUGCCUCAUAGUGGGGGACAACGUGGGGAAACUCACGCUAAUACCGCAUACGCCCUACGGGGGAAAUGGGGGGAUCUUCGGACCUCGCGCUAUGAGAUGAGCCUGCGUUAGAUUAGCUAGUUGGUAGGGUAAAGGCCUACCAAGGCGACGAUCUAUAGCUGGUCUGAGAGGACGAUCAGCCACACUGGGACUGAGACACGGCCCAGACUCCUACGGGAGGCAGCAGUGGGGAAUAUUGGACAAUGGGCGCAAGCCUGAUCCAGCAAUACCGCGUGUGUGAAGAAGGCCCUAGGGUUGUAAAGCACUUUCAAUUGGGAGGAAAACCUGUCGGUCAAUACCCGGCAGCUUGACAUUACCUUUAGAAGAAGCACCGGCUAACUCCGUG